rnacentral:misc_RNA from 1 species
UCUGCAACAGUUGGCAGCAAUUUGUAGUGUCAGUGAAAGAACGGACUUGAAACCUGUCCUGCGCUGGGAAUCUUUGCAUGGCUGGCUACUAUCAGCGGUGCAGGCUCUCCCACUUGAAUAUUUAAAACCAGGGGAAGUAGAAACUCUUGUACCACUAUGGUUGAAGGCUCUUGGAGAUGCAGCCUGUGACUACCUUGAAAGUAAAAGUUGUGAUGAAGUAAAGACUAAUUAUGG